AAAGAAUCAGUGCAUUCUGACCUAGGCUAGCAAGAAAGGAUGCCUUAUGUGGAUAGUGGCCUACUUACCCCUUUGCCUAGACUUGCAAGACACCCAAGAGCCCAGGUUACCUCUAAAUACACAAGGAAAGUGGUCGACCUGAAAGGACUGAUUUUGAAAUCAAACACAGACAAUGCCUGUCAAGAAAACAUUUUCACAUGCCGAGCCAAUAACUGAGCAUGCAUUACGUUUCAGGUACAGUGUGUGGUGGAGAUCCCUGCAGAGGCCAGCCUGGCCCCUGCCAGUGGCUCCCAACCUCACACCUCCAUGUGAGACACCAGUGACUGUUCCCCAGGUAUUCCUAGCCCUCACUCACUCUCCAUUAAAAAGCCAGGUGAGGGAAGUCUCAGUGGCAGGUCUCUGCUGUGGCGAGGGGAAGCUCACAAAGUGGUGGGGGCUCUGGGCCAGGACCCAGCAGCCAUCAGCAUCGUGUCUGGGUACCCUCCACAAUGACACCCCUGGGGAAGGUGUCAGGCUUCUGCCCUCUGAGCCUGGAAUACCAGCGCACUCAUGCUGACCCCAGAGGGAGGGACGUGUGGCCAAGCCUAGGAAGCCUGUCUGUGGGUUCAAGGAGUGGCACUCACUAUGCUCAAGGGACCAAGAAUGUGGCCCAGCUAUGGUGGCUGAAGAGAAGCCUCCUUUAUCUUUGUGCCAGGAAAGAAAGCGACUGCAGCUUUUUACAAAACACACACCACUGUCCGUCUCCUGAAUUUAAAGAAUUUCAAAGACAUUAUUUCAGUGUGUAAGGAUGCAGAUUCAGUUCAUGUCCAAGAAAGCCAGCUUUACACAAUGUAGGAGCCAGGCAGCGGCACCUUCAUCCUGUGGGACUGAGGCCCUCUGAGCACAAUGUGCAAGGGAGGAAGCCAAGGGGAGGGGAGCUCCUGACAGGACAGGAGCAUCCUCCCCAGACCCUUGAGGCUGGGAGAUUAGAUCAUGACAAAGCAGGGUGUCACUUUGGACAGUCCUUUGGGACUGGAGGCCAGAGGGGUGUGACAGGAGGUAAGCUCAGGACCUGGGAGGGGCCAGCACCCCUGUUGCUCCACUUCCCUAGAAGCUGCUCCAUCACACCAGAGCUGCUUCACCUCCCCAGAGCUGCUCCACCUCAGCAGGGCAACUCCACCUCCCCAGGGAUGCUCUACCUUAGAAGGGAGAAGAGGUAGUGGGGCAGCCUCAGAUGUGACCUGGCAUGGUGGGGAGACUGGCAUUACUCAAUUCCCAGGUCUACAUUAGGCCCCCAGGCCCAGAGCUUGCUUUUUUGGGGCCUUCACUGCAGAUGGCAGAGUUUUGACAGGCCUCUAAAUGGGCUGCAAGAUCAGUGUCCCCGUUGGCAUGUCUGUGUGACCCUGAGCCCCUGCAGACUGUUGCACACCUGGCACAAGUGCUCACAUUCACAGGGCCUCUCCCUGGCCCCACAGUGCCCUGUCCUGGAGGGUGCAGGGCCCUAUUAGCUGGCAUCCCAGGACAGCUCCCAUACCGGCUGGGCACCUCUUCCAAGGGGACUGAGAAUUGGGGCCUUGCCACCCCAAAGACCACCUGGUGAGGGGACCUCAGGAGAAUGAACCCUCAGCAAGUGCCAGGUCUUCUUGCAGCUCAGUGUCCAGCCUGGCUCUUUGCUUCCAGUAGGGCCCUCUCAGAGGCUAGAGUCUGACAACUUCCCAUGGAGGUCAGGUUUCCAAGUCAAGCAAUAUGCCUGGAUGGUUGUGAGGGUCACUUCUGAGAAAUAGGUAGAAAGUCUGGACUGUGGUAUAUGGGUUGAGGAGUCAGGGUCCUGGUUUAGCCACACCCUCCUUUGAGGU
rnacentral:lncRNA from 1 species